rnacentral:rRNA from 1 species
CACGGGGGUUGGAGGGCAAGUCUGGUGCCAGCAGCCGCGGUAAUUCCAGCUCCAAUAGCGUAUAUUAAAGUUGUUGCAGUUAAAAAGCUCGUAGUUGAAUUUCGGGAUUGGCGUGUCGGUCGUGCCUUACGGGGUAUGAACUGGCGUCGUCGAUUUCUCACCUUCUGGAGAAUCACGAUGCCCUUAAUUGGGUGUCGUGUGGAACCAGGACCUUUACCUUGAAAAAAUUAGAGUGUUUAAAGCAGGCAUUUUGCUCGAAUACAUUAGCAUGGAAUAAUAAAAUAGGACGGCUUGGUUCUAUUUUGUUGGUUUCUAGGAUCACCGUAAUGAUUAAUAGGGAUAGUUGGGGGCAUUAGUAUUCAAUUGUCAGAGGUGAAAUUCUUGGAUUUAUUGAAGACUAACUAC